rnacentral:rRNA from 1 species
UACGGGGGGGGCAAGCGUUGUUCGGAAUUACUGGGCGUAAAGGGCUCGUAGGCGGCCAACUAAGUCAGACGUGAAAUCCCUCGGCUUAACCGGGGAACUGCGUCUGAUACUGGAUGGCUUGAGUUUGGGAGAGGGAUGCGGAAUUCCAGGUGUAGCGGUGAAAUGCGCAGAUAUCAGGAAGAACACCCGUGGCGAAGGCGGUUCUCUGGGACGGUACUGACGCUGGAGACGCGAAAGCGUGGGGAGCGAACAGG